AUUGAACGCUGGCGGCAGGCCUAACACAUGCAAGUCGAACGGUAACAGGAAGCAGCUUGCUGCUUUGCUGACGAGUGGCGGACGGGUGAGUAAUGUCUGGGAAACUGCCCGAUGGAGGGGGAUAACUACUGGAAACGGUAGCUAAUACCGCAUAACGUCGCAAGACCAAAGAGGGGGACCUUAGGGCCUCUUGCCAUCGGAUGUGCCCAGAUGGGAUUAGCUAGUAGGUGGGGUAACGGCUCACCUAGGCGACGAUCCCUAGCUGGUCUGAGAGGAUGACCAGCCACACUGAAACUGAGACACGGUCCAGACUCCUACGGGAGGCAGCAGUGGGGAAUAUUGCACAAUGGGCGCAAGCCUGAUGCAGCCAUGCCGCGUGUAUGAAGAAGGCCUUCGGGUUGUAAAGUACUUUCAGCGGGGAGGAAGGGAGUAAAGUUAAUACCUUUGCUCAUUGACGUUACCCGCAGAAGAAGCACCGGCUAACUCCGUG
rnacentral:rRNA from 1 species